AUGUACCCAGAUGUAUUAUAUAUUUUUUUUAGAUCUGCAGUAGCUUCAUAACUGACAAUAACGAAAUUAUGUUGUGAAUAACACGCACAAUGUGAACUACACCUACAUAACUGGGUCUAACUUAACUACCCGUUUUAUAAUUAACACAUUGUGGCUAACUUAGUUUGUGAAAAACAUAAAGAGUUAGACGACAGACUCUAAGGGGCUAAGGAGGUGGGAUUUCCUGUACAUCACACAAUGAUAACCGGCGACUGGGAGCAAGGAAGUACAGUACCAGAAUCAGGUAGCACACACAGAAGAGCUUUAAUCAAACAGCAAUCAAGUGUCUGAAGUCCCGCAGAUAUCCGCACAGGGGGAGUGUGUCGUGAUUGAGCAGCCUAAAGUGCUUGUGAUCCAGAGAAUGGCAUGAAUGCGUAAUGCGUCAACCCGCCACAAAGCCUAGGAUACUGAAUUCGGUGAUGCUGAAGUUUUAAUAUUAUUAAUGAACUAAAACAAUAUAAAGAUCUGUGUGUGUCUAUAAUGUACCUGGAGUUUUUAUUCAUCUGUAUGAACUGUUAUUAAUUUCAAGCCACACUACAACACACGCGUUUUGGUCGGCAUAAAUGAUGUGUUUCUGAUCGGCUAAAUCGAGAGCAGCAGGGCUGACUAUAAAAUGAAUUUUAAAAGUAUUUCAAUUUAAUGAGGACGAAGUUCUGUUUAUUUUCAACAUUUCAGUAACAGGGAUAACGACAUUUUCAUUCCAUCCGGGUAGCACUUUUCCAGUUGUGAAUAACGCAGACAUGCUCUUUCACAUUCACCAUGAGACGCCUGGAAAUGUUAUCUGACAUGGUUUUCUUGAAGGUCUCCCAUCCAAAUACUGGAUUUGAAGUGUAAUACCCCGUCUGAUGUAGAGAAGCCUUUCUUUAAUGCAAUUUAUUUUAACUUAAAUACUGAGUUUUUGACUAUAGUAAGUACCCGAUUGAAAGCCUUGUAAUGAGCUUAUGUUAGUUAGCAUUAAAAUAUUAACUGUUUAAAAAAAAAAAAAACUAAAAAAAAACUUGUCCGAUUAGGCCUAUAUUUGGAAAUGUUUCGAUGGCGGCAGCCAUAGAAGUCGGGGGUCUCACCUUUGGGGGUAAGUGAGGCUCACUUCCCCGACCUCUAUGGCCGCCGCCAUCCAUGCCUCUGCCGAGGGGGGGUUCUCACUGCGUGAGUCAGAGGGGACCCCGGCCACACACUCUAUCCUACAUUAGCUUCAGUUCCCUUUGCAUGACCCUUUGCCGUUGUUUAGUUCAACUAAUUUCUAAUAUGUUUUCUUAACCUUCUUAAGGUAAAAAACAUGUCUCAGUGAUAGAAAUUGAAAGUUCAGUUGCAAAUGAGAAGCAGUGAAGGGACCCAUUCAAUUAACUUUCAGCUGGGAAAGGCAUACUAUGAAAUGCAAUUAACAUAGCAUCAAAAUUUUGAUUUAGAUUUUAUUAACAUAUUAUCACUAUAUGAUACUUUUUUUUCUAAAAUGCUAUUUCUUAGCUUCACGGGGCGAGAGCCCGGGCUGGAGUGAAAGGUCGUUACUUGGAGAGGUAGUUUGAGGAGUGGCCUCAGGGGACAGGAUAGGAAAGGAAAGAGGUUCCCGACCGGCCAGAGGAGAGAGAGCGGCCUCAAAGGCAGGCUGUUUAGCAGCCUUGGGAACCAGAAAACACACAAGAUAGAUUGGCUCGGCAGAGCCCACGAAAGGCUCUGUGGAGCGGCAGUCGUGUAGGAGGAAAACAAGAACCUGGAAAAGGAACAGAAUAGAAAGCUGGAAAAAGAGCCCAGUCUCGAUUUGAGUAAGAUAAAGAGCAGGAGCUGAGUAGGGUAGUGAAAUUGUUUGUAAAACCUUUACAGUUGUAUCACUUUAUGGUAUAUUAUGCAUGUUUUACCCAUUCACGUUCAUUGUGCAUUUCCAUUUUUAUUUAUUUUUGAUUUAUUGUAGAAUGCUUCAUUAUGUUGAUCUCAUUCAUCUUGCUUGAUUUUAGUGUAUAGUUUAGUAUGUAUUUAACUGAACUAAUGUUUGAAGCUAUUAUACUGCUUUUGCCUGUCCUAAAUACAUUAGUAUAUCCAUACCAACUACCAUAUCAUACACUGACUGAUACAAUGUGAGAUUGUUAUUAACUGUUUUACCUGUUACAAUAUUUUCUUUUAAUAAAUGUUUUUGUGCCUUUUAAA